UUAAAGGGGCGCUGUGGCGGCUCAGAGAGCCGCUUGGCUAGAUCCCGCUGUCCGCCUCUACCCCGGCCGUCUCGGUACCGGGAGCUGAACACAGAGGGCCAAUCCACAUGCUGUGUCAGUUUUGGUCCUGCUACACCGUUAGGCUACGUGCUCCAGGAAGGAAGCAAAGAGUAUGAGGACUCUGCAGGACCAAAGUGUGCUACAAAUGUCAGUACGUUCCCUGGAUUCCAGAAUUUUUAAAUACCUUGGAAGCUUGUCUGUGUAAUAUUAUGUCAUGCCAUGCCCAAGAGAAGAAAGAAAAAAACCCAACCUUUCAAGAGCUUCUGAAGCAAAGAUGCCCUCUGUCUGUACUCAGGGCUAUAUUCUCCGUCCCUGGAUAGUAUUGACAAAUGGGCUUGAAGGUGGAGUGCUAGCUUUUAGGCCUAGCAGUGUGACUUUGGGCAAAUUGCUUAGCCUCUCCACGUUUACUUCUCUACAUGAAAAAUGGGAAAUAGCGUUGCAGUGAACAUUAAUGAGAUUUUUUUUUUUUUCACAAAGAUUACCAGGAAGAUGCCUGGCUCUCAUUUAGUGUUUUGUGGACUCUGAAGAAACAAUGUAGAUGCAGACAACCAUGGCUAAGCAACCCAAUUGGGUAUGCAUUUCUAAAUCAGUGUUUUCUUUCAUAGCAUUUUUUAAAUUAAGAGGUGAAGUCUCAUAUGUGGGCCCUAAGCCUGGGCUCAAGCAACCUUUUCCUGUAGUUAGUGUUGUAUCCCAAAAACUAGCCCCCAAAAUGGUGUCCAAAAAAUAGAGCAAAACGUCUUUUUUAAAGAAAAAGGACCGCUUUUAUUUAUCCUGGCACCAGCGACACAGUGCAGUUGGAGUUUGCAAAGCUGUGUAACUGGCUUAAAAUUUUGACAGACUUAUAGAAAGAACAAUUACAAAGUAAAUUAAGAAGAUCUUUGUUUCCCUUUGCUUGAGGGCAGAGAAGUUUCACAGUUGGUGGUCAGCCACUUUCUUCUUUACAAGAAUUUACAGUCAUUUGUCUACUAAUUUCAGGAUUAGCUAUCUUUUACAAAAGGGGAACAAAGAGAGGAAUUCAGGUCGACUGAUUCCAGGAACAACUGUCCUUCAUGAAGGGAACAAAGAUUAACACAGCAAAUAGGUUACCAGGGUGACGCCGCAUUCAGAACAGUAUGGCAGCGCUUUUUAGUAUAACGUGGGCAUGUGCCACCACACUCAGCAUCAGCCUCAUUUUCAAAACCCCUCAUAUAACUACCUACAAGGAGUAAUAUAAUCUUACAUAUUAUAGAAGAACAAAGCCACAUCAGCAAGCAAAUCCUGUGUGGAAACCAGUGUCAUGAGCAGGCCACCACUGGACCAUGAACAGGCAGACCCCAGCCCCUCCUACACACAGGCUGGCAAACAGGAAGGACCAACACAUACCCCACCCCACCCCUACCACAAGUGACUGGCUUAUCAGAGAAACACAGGCUGUGAUGAUAGCUACAGAGGUGAAGUGGAAUUGGAUGCCUAUGGUGCUUUGGUGUUUCACUAACAUUGUAGGUCCAUGGCCAGUGGUCUGAUCAUAGGUUCAGAGGAUCUUGGUACACAGUGUGACAUCUAGGGGGGAUCUCCUUCUGAGGGUUGCAGCCAUUGUUGAUUCCCUAUGGUCUUGUUUUGAAGUCCUAUAUCAUUUCCAUUGUUUUGUUGGGUUUGGUUUUAUUGUCUUCUGUUUUGUUUGAUUUAUGUCAAAUCUGAUGGCAGGAGCAGCUAUUUCAAAGAUAGCAAGAUAUAUUAUGGUAUCUAUUUUGGAUUUACUAUAGGCUUGUUUUGAAGUCCUUUAUUGCAUUGAUUGUUUUGUUUGUAUUGUUUCUAUUCUAUUCUGUUCUGUUUGAUUUUCACUCUAUCUGAAGGUAUCUGCAGCUAUUUUGAAGACAUUAAAAGACAUUAUGGUAACUAUUGUUGAUUUUGUAAUAUUUUGACGUCCUAUUCUUUUACACUUGCUUGUUUUGGUUGGUUUUAUUCUGUUUUAUCCUCUUUAAAACAGAAAAAAACACAUAUUUUGUCUUAAAAAUCAAAUCUUUCAUAUUUUAGUUUCUCAUGUCACUCAAAAUCGAUAGCAAGCAUUAAUUUUUUGAAAAAUAAUAC